GUGGGGAAUUUUGGACAAUGGGGGCAACCCUGAUCCAGCAAUGCCGCGUGCAGGAAGAAGGCCUUCGGGUUGUAAACUGCUUUUGUACGGAACGAAAAGGCUCUGGUUAAUACCUGGGGCACAUGACGGUACCGUAAGAAUAAGCACCGGCUAACUACGUGCCAGCAGCCGCGGUAAUACGUAGGGUGCAAGCGUUAAUCGGAAUUACUGGGCGUAAAGCGUGCGCAGGCGGUGCUGUAAGACAGGCGUGAAAUCCCCGGGCUUAACCUGGGAAUGGCGCUUGUGACUGCAGUGCUGGAGUGUGGCAGAGGGGGAUGGAAUUCCGCGUGUAGCAGUGAAAUGCGUAGAUAUGCGGAGGAACACCGAUGGCGAAGGCAAUCCCCUGGGCCUGCACUGACGCUCAUGCACGAAAGCGUGGGGAGCAAACAGGAUUAGAUACCCUGUAGUCC
rnacentral:rRNA from 1 species